AUUGAACGCUGCGGCAGGCCUAGCACAUGCAAGUCGAGCGGAUGAAGGGAGCUUGCUCCUGGAUUCAGCGGCGGACGGGUGAGUAAUGCCUAGGAAUCUGCCUGGUAGUGGGGGAUAACGUCCGGAAACGGGCGCUAAUACCGCAUACGUCCUGAGGGAGAAAGUGGGGGAUCUUCGGACCUCACGCUAUCAGAUGAGCCUAGGUCGGAUUAGCUAGUUGGUGGGGUAAAGGCCUACCAAGGCGACGAUCCGUAACUGGUCUGAGAGGAUGAUCAGUCACACUGGAACUGAGACACGGUCCAGACUCCUACGGGAGGCAGCAGUGGGGAAUAUUGGACAAUGGGCGAAAGCCUGAUCCAGCCAUGCCGCGUGUGUGAAGAAGGUCUUCGGAUUGUAAAGCACUUUAAGUUGGGAGGAAGGGCAGUAAGUUAAUACCUUGCUGUUUUGACGUUACCAACAGAAUAAGCACCGGCUAACUUCGUG
rnacentral:rRNA from 1 species